rnacentral:rRNA from 1 species
AUUGAACGCUGGCGGCAGGCCUAACACAUGCAAGUCGAGCGAGCGGCGGACGGGUGAGUAAUGUAUGGGGACUGCCCGAUAGAGGGGGAUAACUACUGGAAACGGUGGCUAAUACCGCAUACUAUCGGGUGACCCAUAUGGGAUUAGCUAGUAGGUGGGGUAAAGGCUCACCUAGGCGACGAUCGCUCGCUGGUCUGAGAGGAUGAUCAGCCACACUGGGACUGAGACACGGCCCAGACUCCUACGGAGGCAGCAGUGGGGAAUAUUGCACAAUGGGCGAAAGCCUGAUGCAGCCAUGCCGCGUGUAUGAAGAAGGCCUUAGGGUUGUAAAGCACUUUCAGCGGGGAGGCGUUACCCACACAGGAAGCACCGGCUAACUCCGUGCCAGCCGCCGCGGUAAUAC